CCUACGGGAGGCUGCAUUUAUUAAUAUUUUUCCCUUUCCUCCCGUCUGCCCCCGCCAUGCCGCGUGCAGGAAGACGGCUCUAUGAGUUGUAAACUUCUUUUGUACGAGGGUAAAUCCCGAUACGUGUAUCUGGUUGAAAGUAUCGUACGAAUAAGGAUCGGCUAACUCCGUGCCAGCAGCCGCGGUAAUACGGAGGAUUCAAGCGUUAUCCGGAUUUAUUGGGUUUAAAGGGUGCGUAGGCGGUUCGAUAAGUUAGAGGUGAAAUCCCGUGGCUCAACUCCGGAACUGCCUCUGAUACUGGCGGGCUAGAGUUUAGUUGCGGUAGGCGGAAUGUAUGGUGUAGCGGUGAAAUGCAUAGAGAUCAUACAGAACACCGAUUGCGAAGGCAGCUUACCAAACUACGACUGACGUUGAAGCACGAAAGCGUGGGGAGCAAACAGGAUUAGAUACCCUUGUAGUC
rnacentral:rRNA from 1 species